rnacentral:tRNA from 1 species
UGGGCCUGUAGCUCAGACGGUUAGAGCAGGGGACUCAUAAUCCCUUGGUCCCUGGUUCGAAUCCAGGCGGGCCCACCC